UACGGGGGGUCCAAGCGUUGUUCGGAAUCACUGGGCGUAAAGCGCAGGUAGGUGGCUUUUUAAGUCUGUUGUGAAAGCCCAGGGCCUAACCCUGGAAGUGCAGCAGAUACUGUUAAGCUUGAGUAUGGGAGAGGAUAGUGGAAUUCUUGGUGUAGUGGUGAAAUACGUAGAUAUCAGGAGGAACACCGGUGGCGAAGGCGGCUAUCUGGCCCAAUACUGACACUGAGCUGCGAAAGCGUGGGGAUCAAACAGG
rnacentral:rRNA from 1 species